rnacentral:rRNA from 1 species
CACGGAGUUAGCCGGUGCUUAUUCCUCAGGUACCGUCAGUUGAGGACGCAUCCCCUUUUUCUUCCCUGAGAAAAGCCGUUUACAACCCAGAAGGCCUUCAUCCGGCACGCGGCAUGGCUGGGUCAGCCUCUCGGCCAUUGCCCAAUAUUCCCUACUGCUGCCUCCCGUAGGAGUCUGGCCCGUAUCUCAGUGCCAGUGUGGGGGAUCAGCCUCUCAGCUCCCCUAAGCAUCGUCGCCAUGGUGAGCCGUUACCUCGCCAUCUAGCUAAUGCUACGCAACCCCAUCCUUGACCAAUAAAUCUUUAACGACUAAGAGAUGCCCUCUAUCGUCUUAUGCGGUAUUAAUCGCCUUUCGGCGGCUAUCCCCCAGUCAAGGGUAGGUUGGUUACGCGUUACGCACCCGUGCGCCACUAAGGGUAUUGCUACCUCCGUUCGACUUGCAUGUAUUAGGCCUGCCGCUAGCGUUCAUCCUGAGCCAGGAUCAAACUCU